CAUUUUAUACAGCUCUGACUAAUGCAGGAGAUGUUGGACCAUACAACACAGACAUCACACUGAAAUACAGCAAGGUCUUCACCAGCAUUGGCAAUGCUUGCAAUCCAGCUACAGGUUUCUUCACAGCACCAGUCAAAGUGGUCUACUAUCUCCAGUUCACUGUGUGUGGUUACAGAACACUUAGAAUGGGUGUAUACUUGUACAAGAACAACCAGAGGAUCAUGUUUAAUCAUAAGGGAAAGGAAGUAGGUGGACUUGAUUAUUUCACUAACUCUGUUGUCUUGGAGCUGAUAGCAGUAGAUGAAAUUCACCUGGAUCUCCCAUCAAGCUAUUCAGUCUAUGAUGAUGGGAAUAACUACAGCACCUUCAGUGGCUCUCUUCUCUUCCCACUGUAAGGAUGCUGUUUAGGCUGCUGUGUGAUUGAUUUUGUCACAGUACCUGUUGUUAUUGGCUACACUGGGAUUCUUUAGGUGUUGAUAAAUGUCUGCACCGUUGCCUCCAAGACUAAUGUCACUGCAUGUAUCAAAUAAUAUGAUUCUGAAUCUGACCUCCCGCCUGUGUCCUCACAUGAAAACAACAUUCAAAUAAAUCAAAAAGUCAUUGAA